rnacentral:rRNA from 1 species
UACGUAGGGGGCAAGCGUUGUCCGGAUUUAUUGGGCGUAAAGAGCGUGUAGGCGGUUUGGUAGGUCCGUUGUGAAAACCCGAGGCUCAACCUCGGGCCUGCAGUGGGUACGGGCAGACUAGAGUGCGGUAGGGGAGAUUGGAAUUCCUGGUGUAGCGGUGGAAUGCGCAGAUAUCAGGAGGAACACCAAUGGCGAAGGCAGAUCUCUGGGCCGUAACUGACGCUGAGGAGCGAAAGCAUGGG